UCAUGAUGCAAGUAGACCCUUCGUUAUCGAUGACCAUCGUACUGAAUUACCCAAUGUUUAAGCCCAAAAUAUUUACAAUCUGUUAGAGAGUGCAAAUCAGAAAUUGUAUGAUGGAUGUAAAGUUAAAACUCUAGAGGUGUUGUCAAAAAUUAUGUGCAUCAAAUUAACAUAUGGAAUACCUGAAGUUGCCAUUGAUACAAUUUUGGAAUUAUGGGGUU
rnacentral:lncRNA from 1 species